AUCGCUUCUCGGCCUUUCGGCUAAGAUCAAAGUGUAGUACCUGUUCUUAUCGGUUUAAUUUUUUGCCGAGAUGUGCGUCGCUUUGGAGAAAAACGUCUGCUAAAUGAAUGAAUGUAAAUGUAAUGUAACGUCCGUACUGUAUGUGGUGUGGUUUAAGUUACACAGCCGUAAAGCUGUAAAAAUGUU
rfam:Scleropages formosus scaffold1430, whole genome shotgun sequence.